rnacentral:rRNA from 1 species
UACCAGCACCCCGAGUGGUCGGGACGUUUUAUUGGGCCUAAAGCAUCCGUAGCCGGUUCUACAAGUCUUCCGUUAAAUCCAACUGCUUAACAGGUGGGCUGCGGAAGAUACUAUAGAGCUAGGAGGCGGGAGAGGCAAGCGGUAUUCGGAUGGGGUAGGGGUAAAAUCCGUUGAUCCAUUGAAGACCACCAGUGGCGAAGGCGGCUUGCCAGAACGCGCUCGACGGUGAGGGAUGAAAGCUGGGGGAGCAAACCGG